rnacentral:lncRNA from 1 species
CUUCAGUGACCUGCUUCUGCCCCUCUAGGUCUAUCAGCCACAGUCUCUGCAAGUUUCCAAGAGCAGCAGAAAAUGAACACAUUGCAGGGGCCAGUGUCAUUCAAAGAUGUGGCUGUGGAUUUCACCCAGGAGGAGUGGUGGCAACUGGACCCUGAUGAGAAGAUAACAUACGGGGAUGUGAUGUUGGAGAACUACAGCCAUCUAGUUUCCCUGGCUUAUGAGGUGGCAACAUCUUGUACUUCGGAGAUCUGAAGCCGAGCAACUUGCCCAAGUCCUUCUUCUUUUCCCAUUAACAAGAUAUGAUAUCACCAAGCCAAACGUCAUCAUUAAGUUGGAGCAGGGAGAGGAGCUGUGGAUAACGGGAGGUGAAUUUCCAUGUCAACAUAGUCCAGCCCUUCACAUCCUCAGCCGAAGAUCUCACUUCCUCCCAGAGGCCUUUGCUGACUGACCCCUCAGGUAGGCUAAAUCCCCAUCCUGCGCUUCCAUGACAGCCUGUAG